AUAGUGCGAGUAUGUUUGGAUUGUUUUUCUUUUAGUGAAAAAAUACCGGGUCGUAGUCCAAAAAGAUGUUGAACAAAAAACACCGGAUAAAACCUAUAAUGGAAACGGAAUACACGAUGGAAAAAUCAUAACUAACUAGGGACAGCUUUAUUCACAGGAAGGAUGUAUGGCCUUUAAAAACAAAAGAAGAAUAAAAAGAAGAAAAAUAGUGAGCUGC